rnacentral:lncRNA from 13 species
AUGGGCAGCCAGGGACAACAAGCUGUGGUGGACAGAGAAGGAACUGGAGGGGACCGGGAUUGCUUGGUCACCCACAGCAAGCUCAGGAGGAAUGCACUUGAAUUGGGAGGGCUCCCUGAAAGACGACGGUCAGGCAAGCAGGCUAGCGCCCAUGCCAUGGUGGGUCCAGCCCCGGAGCUUACUCUGAAGGGGCCACCCCUUGCUGGAGGGAGACAAUGGCCCUUAACCUGCCCUCUCUGCCCGCAGAUCCAGCCCUUCUUCAGCAGCUGCCUGCUUCAGACACUCUGUGACUGUUUCCUGCCCAGAAAUGCCAGACACUCCAGACAGAGUCUCGCUUUGCCAUCCAGGCUGCAGUGCAGUGGCUCUAUCUCAGUCACCAGGAGAGCUGGGAUUAUAGGUAAGCACCACCAAGCCCAGCUAAUUUUUGUAUUUUUUAGUAGAGAAGCAGUUUUACCAUGUUUGCCACUAACUAAAAAGUUACUGAAAUAUAUACCAAACUGUCUGCUGAGUUGUACAGACAUUAAUAACUCAGUCACACUUUAAAUCGAUGUUUUUUGCACUUUCAUAUAACUCAUGGGAAGAAAUACCUUUCUUGGCAUAAUCCAAAGUACGUAUUUGUGAGCAUUUUGUUAGUGAAU